rnacentral:lncRNA from 1 species
UCAUUUUUACUGCAAAAAAGUUCUCUCUUCUUUAUAAAAAGACUAGAUAUCAGAAAUCUUAGAAAAUUUCUUCCCUUUGGUCUUCACGAGCUAAAAUGGUUUGAAAUAGAGGAUUUUCUGCGUUUCUUUAGCUGGGAUUCUGGUUUGAAAGCUUAUUGGGUUUGGUUCAAAUUCUGGAACCUAUUUGAUUUGUUGUAGCUGUGUUGGUUUACUGAUGUUGCUUCCUUUCUUCUCAAGUUUCCAACAAUUUUCUUUCAUUUUACUUGUUAGUUUUCUAUUGUUGUCCAAGGUACACAUGUUAUUCUAUGAUUUAGUAUUUGUAAAUGGAGUUUAAAGAUAAAUACAAGUUGUUGUUUCGUGCUAACGUUACGUAUCUAUAUUUUCUUGCUAUAAUUUGUCAAUGAAGUUGCAACAAUAUUGAAGAUCUUUUGUUAAAUGAUUGAUUCUUUGUCUAUUUGGUCUAUAUCAUAAAAAUUUUGUUCUCAGUAAAAGUCUAGCAUUGGUCAAGUGUUUACUCUAGUAGUAUACACUUCUCUUUUAUUGCA